rnacentral:rRNA from 1 species
GUAGGCGGCAAGCGUUGUCCGGAAUUAUUGGGCGUAAGGCGCGCGCAGGCGGUUCUUUAAGUCUGAUGUGAAAGCCCACGGCUCAACCGUGGAGGGCCAUUGGAAACUGGAGAACCUGAGUACAGAAGAGGAAAGCGGAAUUCCACGUGUAGCGGUGAAAUGCGUAGAGAUGUGGAGGAACACCAGUGGCGAAGGCGGCUUUCUGGUCUGUAACUGACGCUGAGGCGCGAAAGCGUGGGGAGCAAACAGGGAUUAGAUACCCUGGUAGUCCACGCCGUAAACGAUGAGUGCUAAGUGUUAGGGGGUUUCCGCCCCCUUAGUGCUGCAGCUAACGCAUUAAGCACUCCGCCUGGGGAUACGGCCGCAAGGCUG